rnacentral:rRNA from 1 species
UACGUAGGUGGCAAGCGUUUGUCCGGAUUUACUGGGCGUAAAGAGCGCGCAGGCGGUCGUUCAAGUCGCGUGUGAAAGCCCCCGGCUCAACUGGGGAGGGUCACGCGAUACUGAUCGACUCGAAGGCAGGAGAGGGUAGUGGAAUUCCUGGUGUAGCGGUGAAAUGCGCAGAUAUCAGGAGGAACACCGGUGGCGAAGGCGCCACUCUGGGCCGAAACUGACGCUGAGGAGCGAAAGCGUGGGUAGCAAACAGG